ACGCUGGCGGCGUGCCUAAUACAUGCAAGUAGAACGCUGAAGGAGGAGCUUGCUUCUCUGGAUGAGUUGCGAACGGGUGAGUAACGCGUAGGUAACCUGCCUGGUAGCGGGGGAUAACUAUUGGAAACGAUAGCUAAUACCGCAUAAGAGUAGAUGUUGCAUGACAUUUACUUAAAAGGUGCAAUUGCAUCACUACCAGAUGGACCUGCGUUGUAUUAGCUAGUUGGUGGGGUAACGGCUCACCAAGGCGACGAUACAUAGCCGACCUGAGAGGGUGAUCGGCCACACUGGGACUGAGACACGGCCCAGACUCCUACGGGAGGCAGCAGUAGGGAAUCUUCGGCAAUGGACGGAAGUCUGACCGAGCAACGCCGCGUGAGUGAAGAAGGUUUUCGGAUCGUAAAGCUCUGUUGUAAGAGAAGAACGAGUGUGAGAGUGGAAAGUUCACACUGUGACGGUAUCUUACCAGAAAGGGACGGCUAACUACGUGCCAGCAGCCGCGGUAAUACGUAGGUCCCGAGCGUUGUCCGGAUUUAUUGGGCGUAAAGCGAGCGCAGGCGGUUAGAUAAGUCUGAAGUUAAAGGCUGUGGCUUAACCAUAGUACGCAUUGGAAACUGUUUAACUUGAGUGCAAGAGGGGAGAGUGGAAUUCCAUGUGUAGCGGUGAAAUGCGUAGAUAUAUGGAGGAACACCGGUGGCGAAAGCGGCUCUCUGGCUUGUAACUGACGCCGAGGCUCGAAAGCGUGGGGAGCAAACAGGACUAGAUACCCUGGUAGUCCACGCCGUAAACGAUGAGUGCUAGGUGUUAGACCCUUUCCGGGGUUUAGUGCCGCAGCUAACGCAUUAAGCACUCCGCCUGGGGAGUACGACCGCAAGGUUGAAACUCAAAGGAAUUGACGGG
rnacentral:rRNA from 1 species